rnacentral:rRNA from 1 species
GGGGAAUAUUGGACAAUGGGCGAAAGCCUGAUCCAGCAAUACCGCGUGUGUGAAGAAGGCCUUCGGGUUGUAAAGCACUUUCAAUUGGGAGGAAAACCUACCGGUCAAUACCCGGUAGCUUGACAUUACCUUUAGAAGAAGCACCGGCUAACUCCGUGCCAGCAGCCGCGGUAAUACGGAGGGUGCAAGCGUUAAUCGGAAUUACUGGGCGUAAAGCGUGCGUAGGUGGUUCGUUAAGUCAGAUGUGAAAGCCCUGGGCUCAACCUGGGAACUGCAUUUGAAACUGGCGGACUAGAGUUUAGUAGAGGGGAGUGGAAUUUCAGGUGUAGCGGUGAAAUGCGUAGAUAUCUGAAGGAACACCAGUGGCGAAGGCGACUCCCUGGACUAAAACUGACGCUGAGGUACGAAAGCGUGGGUAGCAAA